rnacentral:rRNA from 1 species
GACGGAGGGGGCUAGCGUUGUUCGGAAUUACUGGGCGUAAAGCGCGCGUAGGCGGCGCAUUAAGUCAGAGGUGAAAGCCCGGGGCUCAACCCCGGAAUUGCCUUUGAGACUGGUGUGCUUGAGUACGGAAGAGGUGAGUGGAAUUCCCAGUGUAGAGGUGAAAUUCGUAAGAUAUUGGGAGAACACCAGUGGCGAAGGCGGCUCACUGGUCCGUAACUGACCGCUGAGGUGCGAAAGCGUGGGGGAGCAAAACAGGAUUGAGAUACCCGGGUAGUCC